rnacentral:rRNA from 1 species
GGGUUGUGAGGUUAAGCGACUAAGCGUACACGGUGGAUGCCCUGGCAGUCAGAGGCGAUGAAGGACGUGCUAAUCUGCGAUAAGCGUCGGUGAGGUGAUAUGAACCGUUAUAACCGGCGAUUUCCGAAUGGGGAAACCCAGUGUGUUUCGACACACUAUCAUUAACUGAAUCCAUAGGUUAAUGAGGCGAACCGGGGGAACUGAAACAUCUAAGUACCCCGAGGAAAAGAAAUCAACCGAGAUUCCCCCAGUAGCGGCGAGCGAACGGGGAGGAGCCCAGAGCCUGAAUCAGUGUGUGUGUUAGUGGAAGCGUCUGGAAAGGCGCGCGAUACAGGGUGACAGCCCCGUACACAAAAAUGCACAUAUUGUGAGCUCGAUGAGUAGGGCGGGACACGUGGUAUCCUGUCUGAAUAUGGGGGGACCAUCCUCCAAGGCUAAAUACUCCUGACUGACCGAUAGUGAACCAGUACCGUGAGGGAAAGGCGAAAAGAACCCCGGCGAGGGGAGUGAAAAAGAACCUGAAACCGUGUACGUACAAGCAGUGGGAGCCUCUUAAUGGGGUGACUGCGUACCUUUUGUAUAAUGGGUCAGCGACUUAUAUUCUGUAGCAAGGUUAACCGAAUAGGGGAGCCGAAGGGAAACCGAGUCUUAACUGGGCGUUAAGUUGCAGGGUAUAGACCCGAAACCCGGUGAUCUAGCCAUGGGCAGGUUGAAGGUUGGGUAACACUAACUGGAGGACCGAACCGACUAAUGUUGAAAAAUUAGCGGAUGACUUGUGGCUGGGGGUGAAAGGCCAAUCAAACCGGGAGAUAGCUGGUUCUCCCCGAAAGCUAUUUAGGUAGCGCCUCGUGAAUUCAUCUCCGGGGGUAGAGCACUGUUUCGGCAAGGGGGUCAUCCCGACUUACCAACCCGAUGCAAACUGCGAAUACCGGAGAAUGUUAUCACGGGAGACACACGGCGGGUGCUAACGUCCGUCGUGAAGAGGGAAACAACCCAGACCGCCAGCUAAGGUCCCAAAGUCAUGGUUAAGUGGGAAACGAUGUGGGAAGGCCCAGACAGCCAGGAUGUUGGCUUAGAAGCAGCCAUCAUUUAAAGAAAGCGUAAUAGCUCACUGGUCGAGUCGGCCUGCGCGGAAGAUGUAACGGGGCUAAACCAUGCACCGAAGCUGCGGCAGCGACGCUUAUGCGUUGUUGGGUAGGGGAGCGUUCUGUAAGCCUGUGAAGGUGGCCUGUGAGGGUUGCUGGAGGUAUCAGAAGUGCGAAUGCUGACAUAAGUAACGAUAAAGCGGGUGAAAAGCCCGCUCGCCGGAAGACCAAGGGUUCCUGUCCAACGUUAAUCGGGGCAGGGUGAGUCGACCCCUAAGGCGAGGCCGAAAGGCGUAGUCGAUGGGAAACAGGUUAAUAUUCCUGUACUUGGUGUUACUGCGAAGGGGGGACGGAG